rnacentral:rRNA from 1 species
UACGAGGGGGGCAAGCGUUGUUCGGAAUUAUUGGGCGUAAAGGGCGCGUAGGCGGUGCGGUAAGUCACCUGUGAAAACUCUGGGCUCAACUCAGAGCCUGCAGGCGAAACUGCCGUGCUUGAGUGUGGGAGAGGUGCGUGGAAUUCCCGGUGUAGCGGUGAAAUGCGUAGAUAUCAGGAAGAAUAUCCGUGGCGAAGGCGGCUCUCUGGUACGGCACUGACGCUGAGGUGCGAAAGCGUGGGGAGCAAACAGG